rnacentral:rRNA from 1 species
GAUGAACGCUGGCGGCAGGCCUAACACAUGCAAGUCGAGCGAGAAAGGCCUUCGGGCUGAGUAGAGCGGCGGACGGGUGAGUAACGCGUAGGAAUCUACCUGGUAGUGGGGGACAACAUGGGGAAACUCAUGCUAAUACCGCAUACGCCCUAUGGGGGAAAGCGGGGGACUUUCGGGCCUCGCGCUAUCAGAUGAGCCUGCGUAGGAUUAGCUUGUUGGUGAGGUAAAGGCUCACCAAGGCGACGAUCCUUAGCUGGUCUGAGAGGAUGAUCAGCCACACUGGGACUGAGACACGGCCCAGACUCCUACGGGAGGCAGCAGUGGGGAAUAUUGCGCAAUGGGCGAAAGCCUGACGCAGCCAUGCCGCGUGUGUGAAGAAGGCCUUAGGGUUGUAAAGCACUUUCAAUUGGGAAGAAAGGUUGUUGCCUAAUACGUAACAGCUGUGACGUUACCUUUAGAAGAAGCACCGGCUAACUCCGUG